rnacentral:lncRNA from 1 species
UUGUCGAUAUUGUGAAUUUGUAUAUCACAGAAAUUUUGUUAAAAUUAUUAUGACUUGAAUUUAGUAGUUGUGAUUUGUAUAUAUAAAUUUUAUUUUUUGAUUAAAAAUAAGAGUAAAUUUUAUUGUUCAAUAAAGAAAAAGAGCUUGCAGUGGCUACAGCACACUUGAUGCUCUUCGCCGACCCCUUUGAAAGGUUUUCAGCAGCAUUUGUCUAUCUUAACAGCAUGACUUUAGAUAUAUUAAUUUAUGGAUUUUGAAUUGGGGAAUGGUUUGUGAAUGAGGUUCAACCGUUACUAUAUGAAUAAUCAUUAUCCAUCAAAAGGCUUGCAAACGACCUUGUUACAUCUUCCGUGUGUGUGUUUGUCAUUACUGCAAAUGAAUCUUAACUUGGUCUUCCAUCACUUAUUGGGAAGAAGAAGAAUGAGGUGUUUCAUUUUGUGGUUGAUAAGGUCUAGCGCCGAUUACAAAUCAGGCUGAUAAACAUAUAUUGUUAAAUUCAGUUUAUUGGUUAACAGAGAUGUUGACCUGAUUAAACAAAUUCCUCUGCUGAUUCGUAGGUGGUUGGGAUCCCGCUCAGAGAUACAUUCUGUUAAAAGUGGUUAUUGGUCAGCACCUCCUCCAUUUUUGGAAUGCAGGGAGUGGCGUGAAUUUAAAUAUAUGGCUUUGACUGGAUUCUUCGUAACAGGAGUGGUUCAUUUUAUGUAUGAAGCAAUGAUGCUCAAUGAAGGUUGUUAUUCCACUAUAAUAGUUGAAGCUUUGGGAAUCCGUGCUGGUUGAAAGAGGUUAGGCAUUUUAAUAUAUGAUAUCAAAGCUCUACUUCAUGAGCUAAGUGAUGAAUUUAUUUCUCAUGUCCGUAAAUCUACAAAUCAGUUGCUCAGAGUGCUGUUGAUGUAUUGUUUCAUGAUAUGCUUAAUAUAUAUUCAAAAAAAAAAAUAUUAAUAUCAUUAAAAUUAUAUUGAAGGUAAACGAAGAUGGAAUUGGUAACGAUCCACUCUCAGAAAUUGAAUCAACCUAUGCUUAUCUAUUUCUUUUUGAAGAAAAGGAAAAAACGAUAAAUAAAGGAUCAGAUUCCAUUCUACUAACUUAAUAAUAAUCAUAAGCCUCGGAAAAAAUAAAAAAUAAAAAAUAAAAAAUUCCAACAGAAACUUGCUAUCUAUCACGCCAGAACAUGUCGAAGAGACACUACUCCUUGUUCUUCGCAAACCCAUAUAUUUAAGAUUUACAACUGUCCAUCAAUUACAAACUAAAAUCUUCCGCUGUUAAGGCCAUUCUUCCCAGUGAACAAAUAAAUGCUGCUAAGCUUCUAUUGAGUCGUGAAUUUUGUUGAUUAUACAAUCAAACUUUAAGGGAAUGGUCUCUUUUUCAGUACAACAAAUGAAAGGAAACAUUUGGGAAACUAACUGUAAAUGGCAAAAACAUGAACUGGAAACCCAUAAUGCUUUGCAAAAGGGUUAACAGUAAGUUGAAAGAUGAGAAACCUGAGAUAUUAUACUACUACAUAUGGUGCAACUGAAUUCCAUGAAGAUGGGAAACAGAGCUAAGGGGAAAAUAACCAUACAUAGACAAACAAAAAAUUGAAGCAACUUUAAUAUUUUGCGGAUGCAAAAAGGUUCAGAAGAAAUAAUAAAGUUUUUCAUACUAUUGAACAAUUGAAAGGAAAGAUAAUAAACACAGUAACAAAAAAAUAAAUAAAUAAAUGUUCAAGAUAUAUUUUCUAAAUGGUGAAUUGCAUUUACUAAUAAUAUUCCUACAUCAUUUACCUUACACAGUAUCUGACAAAACAUGCUAAAUCUACAUCUGUUGCAAGUUGUUCCUCUUGAGUAAAUUACAUAUCAUCAACAUCAAACU